rnacentral:lncRNA from 1 species
GGGCCCAAUGGUUUACUAGAUUCAAGUCAGGUCGAGUCUGAAUUCAGUAAAUCCAGUCUUGAUCCAAAAAAUAGAAUAAUGAAUCCAACUUUAGAAUCCGAACCGACUCUACGAAUCUUUUAAAAUGAAUCGAACUUAGUCGGGUCACAUGCUAACCCAAUCCACUUGCAACCUUAUACGAAAGAAACGAGAGAGAGAGAGA